AUUGAACGCUGGCGGCAGGCUUAACACAUGCAAGUCGAGCGGAGUGAUGGUGCUUGCACUAUCACUUAGCGGCGGACGGGUGAGUAAUGCUUAGGAAUCUGCCUAUUAGUGGGGGACAACAUCUCGAAAGGGAUGCUAAUACCGCAUACGUCCUACGGGAGAAAGCAGGGGAUCACUUGUGACCUUGCGCUAAUAGAUGAGCCUAAGUCGGAUUAGCUAGUUGGUGGGGUAAAGGCCUACCAAGGCGACGAUCUGUAGCGGGUCUGAGAGGAUGAUCCGCCACACUGGGACUGAGACACGGCCCAGACUCCUACGGGAGGCAGCAGUGGGGAAUAUUGGACAAUGGGGGGAAACCCUGAUCCAGCCAUGCCGCGUGUGUGAAGAGGGCCUUAUGGUUGUAAAGCACUUUAAGCGAGGAGGAGGCUCUUUUGGUUAAUACCCAAGAUGAGUGGACGUUACUCGCAGAAUAAGCACCGGCUAACUCUGUGCCAGCCGCCGCAGUAA
rnacentral:rRNA from 1 species